rnacentral:tRNA from 1 species
AGCAGUGUGGCCUAGUGGAAAGAGUGUGGGCCUAGGAGUCAGAGGACCUGGGUUCUAAUCCCAGCUCUGCCA